AUGUACAAAAUCUAUCCAGAUAAUAAGAAAAUAUUAAAAAUUCAUAAUAUCAUUAUUCACAGACACUUAAUUUUGGACGAAGUUCAUCGAUCCGGCAACCAGUCAGUGAUGCAGAUGAUACUAUCAUCUACACAACCAAUGCCCAAGGAAUUUUCUUAUUUACUCCCCAAAACCCAGAAAAUAGAAGAAAAAAACAUAAACAACACUGCUCCAAGUGUAUAUUUAUUUAUAUUGGCUUCUUCAGUUGUAGGUAGAUUGAUCCCUUGA